rnacentral:rRNA from 1 species
AGGAAUCUGCCUAGUAGUGGGGGACAACGUUUCGAAAGGAACGCUAAUACCGCAUACGUCCUACGGGAGAAAGUGGGGGAUCUUCGGACCUCACGCUAUUAGAUGAGCCUAGGUCGGAUUAGCUAGUUGGUAGGGUAAAGGCCUACCAAGGCGACGAUCCGUAACUGGUCUGGGAGGAUGAUCAGUCACACUGGAACUGAGACACGGUCCAGACUCCUACGGGAGGCAGCAGUGGGGAAUAUUGGACAAUGGGCGAAAGCCUGAUCCAGCCAUGCCGCGUGUGUGAAGAAGGCCUUCGGGUCGUAAAGCACUUUAAGUUGGGAGGAAGGGCUCAUAGCGAAUACCUGUGAGUUUUGACGUUACCAACAGAAUAAGCACCGGCUAACUUCGUGCCAGCAGCCGCGGUAAUACGAAGGGUGCAAGCGUUAAUCGGAAUUACUGGGCGUAAAGCGCGCGUAGGUGGCUUGAUAAGUUGGAUGUGAAAUCCCCGGGCUCAACCUGGGAACUGCAUCCAAAACUGUCUGGCUAGAGUGCGGUAGAGGGUAGUGGAAUUUCCAGU